rnacentral:rRNA from 1 species
AUACGGAGGAUCCGAGCGUUAUCCGGAUUUAUUGGGUUUAAAGGGAGCGUAGGUGGGAUAUUAAGUCAGCUGUGAAAGUUUGGGGCUCAACCUUAAAAUUGCAGUUGAUACUGGUUUCCUUGAGUACGGUACAGGUGGGCGGAAUUCGUGGUGUAGCGGUGAUAUGCUUAGAUAUCACGAAGAACUCCGAUCGCGAAGGCAGCUCACCGGGCCGGAACUGACACUGAUGCUCGAAAGUGCGGGUAUCAAACAGGAUUAGAUACCCUGGUAGUCCGCACAGUAAACGAUGAAUACUCGCUGUUUGCGAUACACGGUAAGCGGCCAAGCGAAAGCGUUAAGUAUUCCACCUGGGGAGUACGCCGGCAACGGUGAAACUCAAAGGAAUUGACGGGG